rnacentral:rRNA from 2 species
UAUUACAAUGAAGAGUUUGAUCCUGGCUCAGGAUGAACGCUAGCUACAGGCUUAACACAUGCAAGUCGAGGGGCAGCAUGGUCUUAGCUUGCUAAGGCCGAUGGCGACCGGCGCACGGGUGAGUAACACGUAUCCAACCUGCCGUCUACUCUUGGACAGCCUUCUGAAAGGAAGAUUAAUACAAGAUGGCAUCAUGAGUCCGCAUGUUCACAUGAUUAAAGGUAUUCCGGUAGACGAUGGGGAUGCGUUCCAUUAGAUAGUAGGCGGGGUAACGGCCCACCUAGUCUUCGAUGGAUAGGGGUUCUGAGAGGAAGGUCCCCCACAUUGGAACUGAGACACGGUCCAAACUCCUACGGGAGGCAGCAGUGAGGAAUAUUGGUCAAUGGGCGAGAGCCUGAACCAGCCAAGUAGCGUGAAGGAUGACUGCCCUAUGGGUUGUAAACUUCUUUUAUAAAGGAAUAAAGUCGGGUAUGCAUACCCGUUUGCAUGUACUUUAUGAAUAAGGAUCGGCUAACUCCGUGCCAGCAGCCGCGGUAAUACGGAGGAUCCGAGCGUUAUCCGGAUUUAUUGGGUUUAAAGGGAGCGUAGAUGGAUGUUUAAGUCAGUUGUGAAAGUUUGCGGCUCAACCGUAAAAUUGCAGUUGAUACUGGAUAUCUUGAGUGCAGUUGAGGCAGGCGGAAUUCGUGGUGUAGCGGUGAAAUGCUUAGAUAUCACGAAGAACUCCGAUUGCGAAGGCAGCCUGCUAAGCUGCAACUGACAUUGAGGCUCGAAAGUGUGGGUAUCAAACAGGAUUAGAUACCCUGGUAGUCCACACGGUAAACGAUGAAUACUCGCUGUUUGCGAUAUACGGCAAGCGGCCAAGCGAAAGCGUUAAGUAUUCCACCUGGGGAGUACGCCGGCAACGGUGAAACUCAAAGGAAUUGACGGGGGCCCGCACAAGCGGAGGAACAUGUGGUUUAAUUCGAUGAUACGCGAGGAACCUUACCCGGGCUUAAAUUGCAGAUGAAUUACGGUGAAAGCCGUAAGCCGCAAGGCAUCUGUGAAGGUGCUGCAUGGUUGUCGUCAGCUCGUGCCGUGAGGUGUCGGCUUAAGUGCCAUAACGAGCGCAACCCUUGUUGUCAGUUACUAACAGGUUCUGCUGAGGACUCUGACAAGACUGCCAUCGUAAGAUGUGAGGAAGGUGGGGAUGACGUCAAAUCAGCACGGCCCUUACGUCCGGGGCUACACACGUGUUACAAUGGGGGGUACAGAGGGCCGCUACCACGCGAGUGGAUGCCAAUCCCAAAAACCUCUCUCAGUUCGGACUGGAGUCUGCAACCCGACUCCACGAAGCUGGAUUCGCUAGUAAUCGCGCAUCAGCCACGGCGCGGUGAAUACGUUCCCGGGCCUUGUACACACCGCCCGUCAAGCCAUGGGAGCCGGGGGUACCUGAAGUGCGUAACCGCGAGGAGCGCCCUAGGGUAAAACUGGUGACUGGGGCUAAGUCGUAACAAGGUAGCCGUACCGGAAGGUGCGGCUGGAACACCUCCUUUCU